rnacentral:misc_RNA from 1 species
CAGAGUUCAUGCCCUCACGGGUAGACCUCCCACCCUUGAAUACAUAAUACCUUUUGUUGCUUUGGCGGGCCGCGUCAAGCUACGGGCUCCGGCUCGUAUGUGCCCGCCAGAGGACCCAACUCUUGUUUUUAGUGAUGUCUGAGUACUAUAUAAUAGUUA